GGCUGCCGUCCUACCUGUGCAUUAUUAGAGUUAUUAAAGGCAUCUAAUACUGUCAGGUAAUGACGAUAGCC
rfam:Toxocara canis scaffold1051, whole genome shotgun sequence.